UAGGGAAUCUUCCGCAAUGGGCGAAAGCUUGACGGAGCAACGCCGCGUGAGUGAUGAAGGUCUUCGGAUCGUAAAACUCUGUUAUUAGGGAAGAACAAAUGUGUAAGUAACUAUGCACGUCUUGACGGUACCUAAUCAGAAAGCCACGGCUAACUACGUGCCAGCAGCCGCGGUAAUACGUAGGUGGCAAGCGUUAUCCGGAAUUAUUGGGCGUAAAGCGCGCGUAGGCGGUUUUUUAAGUCUGAUGUGAAAGCCCACGGCUCAACCGUGGAGGGUCAUUGGAAACUGGAAAACUUGAGUGCAGAAGAGGAAAGUGGAAUUCCAUGUGUAGCAGUGAAAUGCGCAGAGAUAUGGAGGACCACCAGUGGCGAAGGCGACUUUCUGGUCUGUAACUGACGCUGAUGUGCGAAAGCGUGGGGAUCAAACAGG
rnacentral:rRNA from 1 species